UAUAGAAUAAGUGAAAACUUUCUUCAUGUGUAAAACUUUUUUAAUGAAUGAAAAAGUAUCCGGUGCACCUCUGAGAAAAGCAACCUCAAAGCAAUAAGAUUUUCCUCUGGGCUUCGCACAUCUAAUCUGUAUGACUGCGGCUGUAAUAUGGAGGUUGAAGCUGGGUUUUGGUUGUUUGUUUUGUGUUCAGAUGCUGCUGAAGGAUGUAAUAUUGUUGAGCUGGAGGCGGAGGGUUUACUGACGCUGCCACAUCAGCACUCGGGAGAAAAGAUCGAGUCAUCUGUGUUGUUGUUUCUCAACUUACUGACCUUCAUGCAGUUUCCUUUACGCCACUGUAAAUGCUCAAGAGGGCUCACAACGGGGGAGAAAAAAACAACAAAUACCUCAUGUAUGCUUUGGAAGACAAAUGCUGAUCUUUAAAACCAUCCACUCACUCAAUAAGCUCAAACAAGCAAGAAACCAAGAUGGGGGUCUCGGAAGGCCCCGCGGUAUUUGGAAUAGAGUAACGAUUGCCUCGCGACCUGUCGUUCAGUCAAGAGACACUCAUGCACUGCACACUGGAUGUUUACAGCUCACUAGGCCUGCAGUCUGGGCCUGAUCAAUAUGCCCCUCUUUUUACGCUUCAGCUCUCAGCCGUCCACCCCGAAUGCCCCGCGGACUGGACUUCAUGCUCCACAGAGAAAAGACGCAUUCCAACAGGUCCUGUUUCUUCCGUGUCAUUGGCUGCCCAUCAGUGCUUCUAUCUGACAGAACAAAGCGGCAGGCAUCUCUCGGUCACCUUCCACGACGGAGAAAUUCCUCUGUGGCAAAAAGGACAUAAGAAAAUAACCUAAUUUGUGGCACCGUGUUCAGGGUUACUAAAAAUACAUUAAGGCUUUUAUUUGCACUUCAGAAGGGUUGCGAUGAACUGCAGUGGCCUUGACUUCCACUGAAGACACUAAUGAAAGAUUGUUUUUUUUUUCUUUUGGCCCACGGACAAAUGUAAUUUUUAGCUUUUUACAUCCAAGGCUAGUUUACUACGUGUAAAGCAAGUGAUUUCUAAGGUCCUAAUAUAAUGAAACUCAACAUAUGUGUCUAAAAAUGUGGCUUGAAAGAACAUUGAAACAAAGAAAUACAUUGCUGCACCAGUAAAGCACUUGUGCUGAAGAACAACUCUGGUAAAAUUACUUUAGCGCAGCAUUUUAAUGAAAGAUUACAAAAAAGAUAUUCAUUUUUAUUUUUCUUUGGAUUUAUGUGCAAUUUUUUUAGUAUUAUUGAGAUACUAUAAUAGUUUUUAUUAAUUUUUUGAAUUAUUUUUUACAUUUUUUUUUUUUUUUUAAUUUUUAUGUGUUUUUUGUCAUUUGUAAUAGUUGUUGCUGUUUUUAAAUGUGUCUAUUUUAUUCAUUUUUAUUUUAGUUUUUGUUAUUUUACUUAAAUUUAAACUAAAUUAAAAUGAGAAGUGUUGACUUGGCAACUAUCUGAAAUAAGUUUUUCAUAUAUAUAUAUAUAUAUAUACACCCAGAAUGUGUAUUAGGAAAUUUAAAAUAGUUUAUUUUUAUUGCAUUUCAACUUUAAACUACAUAAACAAUCUUUUCAGUAAUGGAAAAUGCUUUUUUCUUUGCCCAUUCAAAAAGGGUUCACAAGAUUGAUAGUGGCAAGUGUUGCUCAAGGUCACACUUACAGUCCAUUUCCUUCUCUUUACACAGUAGCAUUAAGACCAAUCAUGCCGUUUGGGAUCAAAAGCAUCCUGGGAUUGCAUAACA